GGAGGAAGUGGUUCUCUGAUGUGGGAAGUGUCUGAUUACAAAAAAAUUGCCACAGUUACAGUAAAAGGGGUGGAGAUAGCAGGAAAGAGGAGGGGCCUGGCUGAAAUCCAGCUUUCAGACUCCAAAAACAUCCUGCACAAAGUAGUCGGGAAGGUGAUGGUCGUGAGGCCUGCCCGAUUGCAGCUGAUUUCCCAGAAGGGCGAUUGUUGUGUGGGGGACAGGAUAGACCUUCCCUUUGCUCUCUGGGCAUGCAGGACCCACCAAACACUUGCGCUAAGACAAAUUAUAUCUUUGAUACACAUUUAUACACUUGCAGGAGCAUAACUGCAAAUUCUCCUGCAAACUUGUUCUCCGAAUCACACCAUCUUCAGUGCGACGAGUCUCUGCUGGAGGAGAGAAAUCUUGUGUUAGUCACAGACUGCUCUCAGCUCUCUCUACACGUCACACACAUGCCAGGAUCUCUGUCUCCAGGUGCUGGAUUCUGUAGAGGGGUCCAUAUGGAGGCUCUUUCACGGGGUCACAUUGUUGUUACCAUCACAGUGGAAACAGAGGGAUGCAACAUCAGUCAGACGACAGCCCUCUCAGAGUACACUAUUUCUCUCUUUGUG